rnacentral:rRNA from 1 species
GACGAACGCUGGCGGCGUGCUUAACACAUGCAAGUCGAACGGAAAGGCCCUGCUUUUGUGGGGUGCUCGAGUGGCGAACGGGUGAGUAACACGUGAGUAACCUGCCCUUGACUUUGGGAUAACUUCAGGAAACUGGGGCUAAUACCGGAUAGGAGCUCCUGCUGCAUGGUGGGGGUUGGAAAGUUUCGGCGGUUGGGGAUGGACUCGCGGCUUAUCAGCUUGUUGGUGGGGUAGUGGCUUACCAAGGCUUUGACGGGUAGCCGGCCUGAGAGGGUGACCGGACACAUUGGGACUGAGAUACGGCCCAGACUCCUACGGGAGGCAGCAGUGGCGAAUAUUGCACAAUGGGCGGAAGCCUGAUGCAGCAACGCCGCGUGCGGGAUGACGGCCUUCGGGUUGUAAACCGCUUUCGCCUGUGACGAAGCGUGAGUGACGGUAAUGGGUAAAGAAGCACCGGCUAACUACGUG